UCACUUACCUGGACGGGGUCAAUGGGUGAUCAAGAAGGUCCAUGGCCUAGGUUGGUGACUUCCAUUGCACUUAGGAGGGGUGCCUGCCUAAGGUCGGCCCAAGUGGUCGAGCCUACGUCAUAAUUUGUGGCAGUGGAGGCCUGCGUUCGCGCGGCCUCUGC
rnacentral:snRNA from 1 species